AACGAACGCUGGCGGCAUGCCUAACACAUGCAAGUCGAACGAGACCUUCGGGUCUAGUGGCGCACGGGUGCGUAACGCGUGGGAACCUGCCCUUUGGUUCGGAAUAACUCCCCGAAAGGGGGGCUAAUACCGGAUAAUGUCUUCGGGCCAAAGAUUUAUCGCCUUUGGAUGGGCCCGCGUUGGAUUAGCUAGUUGGUAGGGUAAAAGCCUACCAAGGCGACGAUCCAUAGCUGGUCUGAGAGGAUGAUCAGCCACACUGGGACUGAGACACGGCCCAGACUCCUACGGGAGGCAGCAGUGGGGAAUAUUGGACAAUGGGCGAAAGCCUGAUCCAGCAAUGCCGCGUGAGUGAUGAAGGCCUUAGGGUUGUAAAGCUCUUUUACCCGGGAUGAUAAUGACAGUACCGGGAGAAUAAGCUCCGGCUAACUCCGUG
rnacentral:rRNA from 1 species